rnacentral:rRNA from 1 species
GAGUUUGAUCAUGGCUCAGAUUGAACGCUGGCGGCAGGCCUAACACAUGCAAGUCGAACGGUAACAGGAAGCAGCUUGCUGCUUCGCUGACGAGUGGCGGACGGGUGAGUAAUGUCUGGGAAGCUGCCUGAUGGAGGGGGAUAACUACUGGAAACGGUAGCUAAUACCGCAUAAUGUCGCAAGACCAAAGAGGGGGACCUUCGGGCCUCUUGCCAUCGGAUGUGCCCAGAUGGGAUUAGCUUGUUGGUGGGGUAACGGCUCACCAAGGCGACGAUCCCUAGCUGGUCUGAGAGGAUGACCAGCCACACUGGAACUGAGACACGGUCCAGACUCCUACGGGAGGCAGCAGUGGGGAAUAUUGCACAAUGGGCGCAAGCCUGAUGCAGCCAUGCCGCGUGUAUGAAGAAGGCCUUCGGGUUGUAAAGUACUUUCAGCGGGGAGGAAGGGAGUAAAGUUAAUACCUUUGCUCAUUGACGUUACCCGCAGAAGAAGCACCGGCUAACUCCGUGCCAGCAGCCGCGGUAAUACGGAGGGUGCAAGCGUUAAUCGGAAUUACUGGGCGUAAAGCGCACGCAGGCGGUUUGUUAAGUCAGAUGUGAAAUCCCCGGGCUCAACCUGGGAACUGCAUCUGAUACUGGCAAGCUUGAGUCUCGUAGAGGGGGGUAGAAUUCCAGGUGUAGCGGUGAAAUGCGUAGAGAUCUGGAGGAAUACCGGUGGCGAAGGCGGCCCCCUGGACGAAGACUGACGCUCAGGUGCGAAAGCGUGGGGAGCAAACAGGAUUAGAUACCCUGGUAGUCCACGCCGUAAACGAUGUCGACUUGGAGGUUGUGCCCUUGAGGCGUGGCUUCCGGAGCUAACGCGUUAAGUCGACCGCCUGGGGAGUACGGCCGCAAGGUUAAAACUCAAAUGAAUUGACGGGGGCCCGCACAAGCGGUGGAGCAUGUGGUUUAAUUCGAUGCAACGCGAAGAACCUUACCUGGUCUUGACAUCCACGGAAGUUUUCAGAGAUGAGAAUGUGCCUUCGGGAACCGUGAGACAGGUGCUGCAUGGUUGUCGUCAGCUCGUGUUGUGAAAUGUUGGGUUAAGUCCCGCAACGAGCGCAACCCUUAUGCUUUGUUGCCAGCGGUCCGGCCGGGAACUCAAAGGAGACUGCCAGUGAUAAACUGGAGGAAGGUGGGGAUGACGUCAAGUCAUCAUGGCCCUUACGACCAGGGCUACACACGCGCUACAAUGGCGCAUACAAAGAGAAGCGACCUCGCGAGAGCAAGCGGACCUCAUAAAGUGCGUCGUAGUCCGGAUUGGAGUCUGCAACUCGACUCCAUGAAGUCGGAAUCGCUAGUAAUCGUGGAUCAGAAUGCCACGGUGAAUACGUUCCCGGGCCUUGUACACACCGCCCGUCACACCAUGGGAGUGGGUUGCAAAAGAAGUAGGUAGCUUAACCUUCGGGAGGGCGCUUACCACUUUGUGAUUCAUGACUGGGGUGAAGUCGAAACAAGGUA